GGCCUGCGGGGCUUGACUUCAAGUUGG
rnacentral:piRNA from 1 species